rnacentral:tRNA from 2 species
AAGCUUAGCUCAGUUGGGAGAGCACCUGCCUUACAAGCAGGGGGUCACAGGUUCGAACCCUGUAGCUUCC